CUGCCCUUAGCUCAACUGGAUAGAGCAAUGGCCUUCUAAGCCAUAGGUCGGGGGUUCGAGUCCCUCAGGGCAGG
rnacentral:tRNA from 4 species